rnacentral:snoRNA from 1 species
CAUCUGCUGGGAUGAACUGCAUGUUCAGUCCGUGUUUCACCUGAUUCCUGAUUACACACAUGCACUGAGCAGAGC